CCUACGGGCGGCAGCAGUGAGGAAUAUUGGUCAAUGGACGAGAGUCUGAACCAGCCAAGUAGCGUGAAGGAUGACUGCCCUAUGGGUUGUAAACUUCUUUUAUAUGGGAAUAAAAUGUUCCACGUGUGGGAUUUUGUAUGUACCAUAUGAGUAAGGAUCGGCUAACUCCGUGCCAGCAGCCGCGGUAAUACGGAGGAUCCGAGCGUUAUCCGGAUUUAUUGGGUUUAAAGGGAACGUAGGUGGAUUGUUAAGUCAGUUGUGAAAGUUUGCGGCUCAACCGUAAAAUUGCAGUUGAAACUGGCAGUCUUGAGUACAGUAGAGGUGGGCAGAAUUCGUGGUGUAGCGGUGAAAUGCUUAGAGAUCACGAAGAACUCCGAUUGCGAAGGCAGUUCACUGGACUGCAACUGACACUGAGGCUCGAAAGUGUGGGUAUCAAACAGGAUUAGAUACCCCAGUAGUC
rnacentral:rRNA from 1 species